rnacentral:piRNA from 1 species
UGAUGGACUCCGAAGCACAUGAGA